rnacentral:lncRNA from 1 species
UUCCGGCUCCAUUAGGUACCAAUUGUUAAGACUGGUCGCUUUCCAAGAUUCCACAACACCUCCAAACACAUUCGAUCGUGGCUGAAAGUUCAAAAUUUACACAAAAUAGUUAACCAGAAAAAAGAGAAGAUAAAGGUUAACUACAAAAAUUAAAAUAUUAUAAGAAGAAAGUAAUGAUUGUCAAGAUGAAUUCUUGAUUAAGAAUUAAGUGAACAUUAUGACUAAUGGUCAUCUUAUUUAUAGGUAACCAGAGAGGUUGUAUGUAGUGUUAAGAAUCUUUUAACACUUAUCCAAGUAUAUUAAUCUAUUUGACAAGUAUACUUAAUCUUUCAUGCAUGAAGAUAUAUGGUAAAUUUGCAUAAUCACUUAUCAGAAUCAUUCAAUAUUUGGCUUUAAAUUAAUAUCAUAUAUAAAACUCUUGUCAUAUACAAUUAUCUAAUAGUAUUUGGCCACUUGAAAAUAGGUAGAAUACUAUAAAAAUAAAAAAGACUCAUGACAAUUGAUUGUAAAUAAAUUUACAAAUAAAAAUCUUUAAUUUUGUAUUAUAAAUAACACCAACAAGUCUCAUAGUUAAAAAUCAAAUAAAUAGAGAAACCACUUAUAGUCACAUAACAGAAAGUCAACUUGCAGUCAAUUCUCAUACUACAUAGAAAGGAACUAAAUGAACCCAACAUUUUCCGGCUAGCCGGCCGAAUUGACUUUGCCUUUGCAGUAGAACCUUGGAGAAGCAGGUAGAAGUUGUAGUUGGUGUAAGGAUAAUUUCAGUAUUCCUAAAAUACUUACCAUUUUCCUAUCAAUUCAACUCUAUGUUAAUUCAAUUUACCAAGUAACUAGGAGUUUAAACUGUAUAAUGUCGUACAGUGAAGGGCCAAACAAACGGUAAACUUAGGCUUUUGUAAGUGUCACAUCUUCUUUUUAUGUUAUAUCCUGCGAAGGAAGUAGAAAGAGAGUUUUUUCAAUUAAAGUGACAAUUGAAUUGAAAUUUAUUUAUUUAAAGAAUUCAGAGUCGCUACUUGGGAUGAUUUAUGGUAUCCUAAAUUACUGGUUCAAAUCCCGAAUCGAGGAAAACUGUAUUACAAUCUGCAAACCAGAAAUCCGGGUAAGGAAUUCUAUUAACACGAGAGAAGAUAUUAGGCAUUUUCGAGUUCCGUGGUUCUAGUACGGUCGAUCAACUGUUAUAUCUGGUUUAAUUAUUUGAUUUUAAUGCAUUUUGAACCUAUGUGCAUUUUAAACCUUUUAACCACUUUUAUUAUUUCAGGAAAAUUGCAACGAUGUUAAAACACGUCUUGAACCACGUCACAUAAAUGCACUCGCGGUCUUUGACAUAUUUUAACAUUGUUGGGAAUUGGAUUUGGGUCACAUAAAUGUGCACCCAAAUUUAGGAAGGUAGAUUUUUAACUAACGCGCCUAAAACAAUUAUGCGUUUUAAAGUUACGAGGACCAUGGGAAUUCGCUAAUGGCGCGCCUCGGAUUUCUAAGGGUUAAAGUACUAAUUAAAUGAGGGUCGUACAUUUUUGGGUUUUAUUCAGUACGGCGCACCUCAAAUCCAAUUUAAAAAGGGAAUUCAGAAUCAAAUUCUUAAGAACCAUGGCUAUAUUUACUAAGUGUAUCACACUUCAACUAAUCGUCUACAAGUCCUUAUUUUGGAACCAAGAGGGCCAUGGACCAUCGUUACUAAAAUAAUUAACUAAGGAACACAAUGGGCUUCUGCUUGCCUAAACAGGGCAUCUUAUUAAUUAGCAACCAUAAAGUAAAGGGCCCUAAUUAUUAGCUUGACUAGGGGAACCUCACAAAUUAAAAGGGCCUGACUUGAGGCCCAACACUUCCUAAUUGAUAAUAAUAUGGCAUCUGCAGCGGAAUAGUCCUAGUAAACAAGCAAAACUUUGUUCGAACCCUUAAUGCCAAAAUCGAUUGAGCAAUGGCUUUUGGAUUUACGAUUCAGCUGACUUCAAGAACAUCAAAUGACUGUUAGACAUUUCCUAACCGACCAUGAUGACACUACAAACUACAUUACUUCGAAGGGAUGAAAUAACAAAUGACCUGAACAUACUUUAUUCAUGUUAGUUUAGGCAAAGACUACAAUAUUAAUUCAUUUCGAACAUGCCAUAUCUGACACUAUCAUAAUCCUUUACCGAAUGAAUAGCUCACUAAUCUAGACUCUUAAAAGGAAAUUUCGACUAUAAUCAGAAAGAUAGUCAAACAUCCUUGAGAGUCCCUUUAUACAGAUCAACCAAUUCAAAAUAACAAAUUCACGUAAUCAAGCUAUAACAUAUUUCACAUUUCCAACCAAAACUAGGCUAGAGUAAACAGCUUUACAAGUACCCUCGAUAUACUUGAUUACAAACAUGGUGACAUCCUAUUCAAUUGUAGAGAGACCUAAACAAGAUAUCUCUAAACUGAGUAAGCACAUUAAGCAUGAGAUUAAAAGAGAAGAAGUGAGACUCAUAUAAAGAACAACCAAUUUAUUUACAUUUAUCAGAUUCAAACUUCAAAAUACAUUGAGAUGGUGUCCAUGGGAUUGACGAAUACCUGAAACGAAAGGAAAAUGGAAGGCAGGAUCAACAGUAAUUAACAACAGUAAUCAUCAAUAAAAUAGUUCCCCAGCCUCAGCUCUGAACCAGGAACAGUGUGUAACAAAAGAUCGAUCAACACUUUGAGACAAGCCUUUUAAGCACCACACUAAAACCAUUUCAGCCCCACUCAGGUCGUGGAUCACUCCAAGAAAUGAAGCUAAGAAAUUUGCAGAAAUAGCUAAUGAAAUAGUGAAUCUCACUAGAAAAUUCUUAGCUGCCUGUAUUUCUGAGGGUUCU